rnacentral:tRNA from 1 species
GCCGCUAUAGCUCAGUUGGUAGAGCGCCGCAUUCGUAAUGCGUAGGUCGCGAGUUCGAGUCUCGCUAUCGGCU